GAUGAACGCUGGCGGCGUGCCUAAUACAUGCAAGUCGAGCGAACGGACGAGAAGCUUGCUUUUCUGAUGUUAGCGGCGGACGGGUGAGUAACACGUGGAUAACCUACCUAUAAGACUGGGAUAAAUUCGGGAAACCGGAGCUAAUACCGGAUAAUAUUUUGAACCGCAUGGUUCAAAAGUGAAAGACGGUCUUGCUGUCACUUAUAGAUGGAUCCGCGCUGCAUUAGCUAGUUGGUAAGGUAACGGCUUACCAAGGCAACGAUGCAUAGCCGACCUGAGAGGGUGAUCUGCCACACUGGAACUGAGACACGGUCCAGACUCCUACGGGAGGCAGCAGUAGGGAAUCUUCCGCAAUGGGCGAAAGCCUGCCGGAGCAACGCCGCGUGAGUGAUGCAGGUCUUCGGAUCGUAAAACUCUGUUAUUAGGGAAGAACAUAUGUGUAAGUAACUGUGCACAUCUUGACGGUACCUAAUCAGAAAGCCACGGCUAACUACGUG
rnacentral:rRNA from 1 species